UUGACCUCGGAUCAGGUAGGGAUACCCGCAGUGCUUAAGCAUAUCAAUAAGCGGAGGA
rnacentral:rRNA from 1 species